GCCAGGCAUGGUGGUGCAUGUCUGUAAUCCUAGUGACUUGGGAGGCUGAGGCAGGAGGAUCAAAAGUUUAAAACCAGCCUUGGU
rnacentral:sRNA from 1 species